AGUCGAGGGGUAGAAAGAGCUUGCUUUUUUGAGACCGGCGCACGGGUGAGUAACGCGUAUGCAACCUACCUUAUACAGGGGAAUAGCCCGAAGAAAUUCGGAUUAAUGCUCCAUGGUUUAUCGAUAUGGCAUCGUAUUGAUAAUAAAGAUUUAUCGGUAUAAGAUGGGCAUGCGUAUCAUUAGCUAGUUGGUGUGGUAACGGCAUACCAAGGCAACGAUGAUUAGGGGUCCUGAGAGGGAGAUCCCCCACACUGGUACUGAGACACGGACCAGACUCCUACGGGAGGCAGCAGUGAGGAAUAUUGGUCAAUGGAGGCAACUCUGAACCAGCCAUGCCGCGUGCAGGAUGACGGUCCUAUGGAUUGUAAACUGCUUUUGUACAGGAAGAAACCUCCCUACGAGUAGGGACUUGACGGUACUGUAAGAAUAAGGAUCGGCUAACUCCGUGCCAGCAGCCGCGGUAAUACGGAGGAUCCGAGCGUUAUCCGGAAUUAUUGGGUUUAAAGGGUUCGUAGGCGGCUUUGUAAGUCAGUGGUGAAAUUUCCUAGCUUAACUAGGACACGGCCAUUGAUACUGCAGAGCUUGAAUAAUAUGGAAGUAACUAGAAUAUGUAGUGUAGCGGUGAAAUGCUUAGAUAUUACAUGGAAUACCAAUUGCGAAGGCAGGUUACUACGUAUUUAUUGACGCUGAUGAACGAAAGCGUGGGGAGCGAACAGGAUUAGAUACCCUGGUAGUCCACGCCGUAAACGAUGGAUACUAGCUGUUCGGUUUUCGGACUGAGUGGCUAAGCGAAAGUGAUAAGUAUCCCACCUGGGGAGUACGUUCGCAAGAAUGAAACUCAAAGGAAUUGACGGGGGCCCGCACAAGCGGUGGAGCAUGUGGUUUAAUUCGAUGAUACGCGAGGAACCUUACCAGGGCUUAAAUGUAGAUUGACAGAUUUGGAAACAGAUUUUUCUUCGGACAAUUUACAAGGUGCUGCAUGGUUGUCGUCAGCUCGUGCCGUGAGGUGUCAGGUUAAGUCCUAUAACGAGCGCAACCCCUAUUGUUAGUUACCAGCGCGUAGUGGCGGGGACUCUAGCAAGACUGCCGGUGCAAACCGUGAGGAAGGUGGGGAUGACGUCAAAUCAUCACGGCCCUUACGUCCUGGGCUACACACGUGCUACAAUGGCAAGUACAGAAAGCAGCUACCUGGCAACAGGAUGCGAAUCUCCAAAGCUUGUCUCAGUUCGGAUUGGAGUCUGCAACUCGACUCUAUGAAGCUGGAAUCGCUAGUAAUCGGAUAUCAGCCAUGAUCCGGUGAAUACGUUCCC
rnacentral:rRNA from 1 species